rnacentral:tRNA from 1 species
AUUUUUAUAGUUUAAUUUUAAAACAUUGGUUUGUGGAAUCAAUAAUAUAAUAAUAAAAUUAUUAAAAAUU